UACGAAGGGGCUAGCGUUGCUCGGAAUCACUGGGCGUAAAGGGUGCGUAGGCGGGUCUUUAAGUCAGGGGUGAAAUCCUGGAGCUCAACUCCAGAACUGCCUUUGAUACUGAGGAUCUUGAGUUCGGGAGAGGUGAGUGGAACUGCGAGUGUAGAGGUGAAAUUCGUAGAUAUUCGCAAGAACACCAGUGGCGAAGGCGACUAACUGGACAAGUAUUGACGCUGAGGUACGAAAGCGUGGGGAGCAAACAGG
rnacentral:rRNA from 1 species